GGGGGUGCGCUGACCAGCCGUGACUCAUCGCUGCGCCGGGGGGCAACACGGCCCUACACGCACCUGAGAGCCGCGCCGGAGCUGCCGGAGCCUCUGUUCAGCUCCCUCUGCUCGGCUCCCCCCGCCCGCCGCUCGGCCCCGCUUCCGGCGCCGAGCCGGGCGGCCCGCAGGGUCUGGUGGGACACCCCACACGCCCCAGCGGGGCUUGCACGGGACUCGCCGUAGCCCCAUCCCCUGCAGCCUCCGCCCGCCAGGGCUCCUCUAGGCCUCGUCACACUGCCAGCGCGGCCUUGCCCGGACACCGUCAGGCGCCGGUGCCGCCCUCGGCAGAGCCCGCGGUGCGGGGUCGGGGCUGAGACGGCCCUGCGGGACCGGGCCGGGGCUGAGGGGCGCGGGCAGGCCCGGGCCGGGCUCAGCGCGGCGGGCAAGGCCACUGCCCGCCCUCCAGGGCCGUGAGGCGCCGCCGCCAUCUUGGCGUGGCGCGGGCGCCGCCGCCGCGCAGGAAAUGGAGGACGCGUGGCCGUGAGGGCACCCGGGCCCCCUCAGCGCGGAGGGCGCUGCCGAACACCCGCGCGGGGCUCCCACGCGCUACAGCCCAAAGACACGAGAGGAAAAAAGUUGUUUUGAGUCACUUAACAAAAUUUCCACUCGGACUCUGUGCUGUACGCAAAGCUUAGGAAUAGUGUUCCUGCUUGGUGUUCUGAGGUUGUUUACAUAAAUCCUCUCCUUUGUGCCUGGGAACUUUGCAAAUGAAUUAGUGACCAAUUUUAUUGCCUCGAACGCACUCCCACGUUCAUGGCCUGGCAACUACAACACACCAGCAGUGUCCAGCAUCAGUCGUCAUCCUUUUGUUCCAAGUCACACCGUUUAUGUUUAAAAGUCUUUCCUUCCCAGUCCAUCAGUUACAAGAAGGACCCGCCGAGCCCCGGGGCUCAGAAAUAAAAUGUGGGGCUGAUCGUGAAGAUGUUUUGGACUGACCUUUCCUCAAGCUGUAAAUCUAAUAUUAUAGCACUAUAGUUAAGUUUCUUUUAUUAGACUAUGAGUAACAACGUAUGUCUUUUCCUCGUGUUAAGUGCAGCUCAUUUAAGAUGGACUUUACGUGAGUUUAUUUGGGGUUUGUGCGCUGUAUUUGCGUGUCUGUUCGGUGUGUUUAUAAUGAGCUGUAUUUUCCACAGAGCUACACCCGCUGUGCAUCAGCACGGAGGUGUGAAAAGGGGACCUCUCAGACCUAUCUCUGCAUAUUACUCUAUAAUGUCUGACAAACUUAUGCCAGGUCUUGUUCUGGCAUUUGUUUCACAGCACUGUAAAAAAUAUCAGCAUCACCAACAAGCUUUGAACCUGUAAUAAUAUUUUUUCCAUUCAUUACUUUUUUUGUCUUUACUGUCAUGGUUCAGCAUUAUUUUCGUGGCCUUGGGUUGCCUCAGAUACAUUACAAUCCUGUUCACAAGUAGUUGCACUUUUAGUUUUCAUGGCUAGGGAUACAGGAAAGAAAAACAAUGUGUGUAGCUAAGCAAGUGCUCAGAGCUUCUAAAUCAUGAGUGUGUCUGCACUGCAUUAAAAAAAACCAAUCAAACAACAGAUCAAUGUCACUCAGAAAGGCUACAGAGACAAAAUCACAUAUCGUCAAUUUUUGCAGCAAAUCUUUUUUUAAAGUACUAGAACCUGGUCUCUCUAUGAGUCAGGAAUUUCUGACCAACAAACCAAUUGUAAUACAACUUUUCUAACUUUUCUUGUGUUUCGCUGGUUGUACUUCUUGAACUGUCCAUGAGGCCAGGAAACUCCAAACUUAACUUUGGUGGAACCUGUAGACUUUCUGUCAGCAAAAGUUUUUGUGACUGAUAGAGAUGGUAAAUUGCCCUGAACAAAUGAAAACUUUAUUUAGAAGAACUUCAAAUCAUACACUGGACUCUCCCUUACUUGAAAUGGAAAGAGGGUGCAACUGUGAGUGAAAAUGCUUUACUCCAGAAGAGUUACUGCUGGUGGCACAUCAAUUAAUCACCCUCCCAAAGUGAACUGCCUCAAAUACAGCUCCAGUUCUUAUAAUACAGGAUAUUUUUAGCUGUGUUUCAUUAUAAUGGAGGAAAUUCUCCUCCAGCAGAUAGUAAGAGAGUCUUCUAACAGUGUUUAGUUUGUGUACUUGCCCCAAGAAUUAAUUUGGCUUGUUGUAUCUUAGUAAAGCUUGCAAUUCUUGUUUUUCAGGUUCCUCUGAUAUUUAGGCAAAGGAUAGUCUUGCAGUUACAGAACAAAAGUGAGAAGCAUGACAUCUAUUCCUGGCUCAGUUACUUCCUAGAGAAAACAAAGGAGACAGAGAACAAGAUACCCACAUUUAGAGUCAGGCAAGAAGAACUUCCUCUGCUAAUGCCUGUGUAUGGAGAUAAAACCUGGAUGUGAAGGCACCACGAGGUCAUACCCAGCAUAACCAAUGGCCAGUGUACCAGGCUGAGUGUGGUGUUUUACCCAAAAUACUGCAGAGGAUUUGGGAGAAUGAG